rnacentral:piRNA from 1 species
UAAUAAGAAUAUUUGAUUUUGAUCCUGG